UACGUAGGGGGCAAGCGUUGUCCGGAUUUAUUGGGCGUAAAGAGCGUGUAGGCGGCCAUACAGGUCCGUUGUGAAAACUGGAGGCUUAACCUCCAGACGUCGAUGGAAACCGUCUGGCUAGAGUCCGGAAGAGGAGUGUGGAAUUCCUGGUGUAGCGGUGAAAUGCGCAGAUAUCAGGAAGAACACCUAUGGCGAAGGCAGCACUCUGGGACGGUACUGACGCUGAGACGCGAAAGCGUGGGGAGCGAACAGG
rnacentral:rRNA from 1 species